rnacentral:rRNA from 1 species
CUGUAGCCGCGGGAAUACGAAGGGGGCUAGCGUUGUUCGGAUUUACUGGGCGUAAAGGGCGCGUAGGCGGACUGAUAAGUCAGGGGUGAAAUCCCAAGGCUCAACCUUGGAACUGCCUUUGAUACUGUUUGUCUUGAGUUCGAGAGAGGUAAGUGGAACUGCGAGUGUAGAGGUGAAAUUCGUAGAUAUUCGCAAGAACACCAGUGGCGAAGGCGGCUUACUGGCUCGAAACUGACGCUGAGGCGCGAAAGCGUGGGGAGCAAACAGGAUUAGAUACCCCAGUAGUCCCUGUCUCUUAUAC